rnacentral:rRNA from 1 species
UACGAACGCUGGCGGCGUGCCUAAUACAUGCAAGUCGAACGCAUUUUCUUUCACCGUAGCUUGCUACACCGAAAGAAAAUGAGUGGCGAACGGGUGAGUAACACGUGGGUAACCUGCCCAUCAGCGGGGGAUAACACUUGGAAACAGGUGCUAAUACCGCAUAAUUUCAUUUACCGCAUGGUAGAUGGAUGAAAGGCGCUUUUGCGUCACUGAUGGAUGGACCCGCGGUGCAUUAGCUAGUUGGUGAGGUAACGGCCCACCAAGCCGACGAUCAGUAGCCGACCUGAGAGGGUGACCGGCCACAUUGGGACUGAGACACGGCCCAG